GACGAACGCUGGCGGCGUGCUUAACACAUGCAAGUCGAACGGAAAGGCCCUGCUUUUGUGGUGUGCUCGAGUGGCGAACGGGUGAGUAACACGUGAGUAACCUGCCCUUGACUUUGGGAUAACUUCAGGAAACUGGGGCUAAUACCGGAUAGGAGCUCCUGCUGCAUGGUGGGGGUUGGAAAGUUUCGGCGGUUGGGGUUGGACUCGCGGCUUAUCAGCUUGUUGGUGGGGUAGUGGCUUGCCCAGGCUUUGACGGGUAGCCGGCCUGAGAGGGUGACCGGCCACAUUGGUACUGAGGUACGGCCCAGACUCCUAUGGUAGGCAGCAGUGGGGAAUAUUGCACAGUGGGCGGAAGCCUGAUGAAGCAACGCCGCGUGCGGGAUGACGGCCUUCGGGUUGUAAACCGCUUUCGCCUGUGACGAAGCGUGAGUGACGGUAAUGGGUAAAGAAGCACCGGCUAACUACGUG
rnacentral:rRNA from 1 species